CAGCCGAGCUCUGCCGGCCCCGGCGGGCUCAUCCCGCUCCCGAGCCGCGGUAAUUAAUUAAUGCCGGCGGCUUGCAGCGAGGCUGAGCCCCCAGGGGCGCUCCCCGAGGCUGCGGCGGGAGCGGGACAGCGGCAACAGCUGAGACACCGCGAGCAGGGCUUGGAGGGUGCUGGUGAGUGCUGGGACAGAGCAUCCCCUCUGUCACCCUGUGGUGGAGGAUGUGACCCCCUAAAAGUGUUCCUGAACCCCGGGAUGCUGCAGGGAAGUGUCUGCCAUGGCCAACCCAACUUUUCCCAAGCAAACCCUGCAGCAGUGAUGCAAACUAGAGCAAAACGCAGCAGGAUGCAGCAUCCUGGUACCCCAAAACUGGGGUCCCUUCCAAGGGGUUACAUGGGACAUGGCAGCUCUCAUAGUCCUGGGUGAAGAAGGAAAUCCCAUGAAAUAAAAUAUAAACUUCAGAACUGCUUGAGCCAACCCAUGAACAAAUAAUUUUAAUGGUUUUUUUCAGCAGACCGUAGUUUUUUCGGAGCUCCACAGUCUCCUCUCUUUGAAGUUGGACAGAUACAGUAAACACAACAAAUAUAUGAUACAACCCAUCACAGCUGGAUUAAAAAAAAUACACAAAAAAUAUAAUACAUAAAAAAAUUGGAUUUUUAACAUUGUGGACUGACGCAGCUCUAAAAAUGGUGAUUGUAACCCUGGUAAGCUUUACAAAGUCUUUAAAAAAAUAAAACAGUACUUCAUGUGAAAUUCAUAAAUACACUGGAGGCGAACGGAGGGGCUGGGGGAGCUGAGAAAGUGUCUCUGGGAUCAUGGCUAAACCCCAGCCAGGGCUGCUGGGGGCAGCAGUCUGUGUGCGUGGGGUGCAGUGUGAGCCCUGGGCUCGGUGCAGGCACGAGGGAGGCAGGGAGGGAUGGAGGCACAAACCGGUCCAGUUAACAAAGAGCUUCGUCCCCCAUCAGGGCUGGGAGUGGGCAUGCCUGUGGUUUAUGGUGGGGGAGUUUUCUGAGUUUGCAUUCCCAGAGUUUUAGAUCAGUGAGUGAAACAGAAGGAAAAAAAAAA